rnacentral:ncRNA from 1 species
UACCUGGUUGAUCCUGCCAGUAGUCAUAUGCUUGUCUCAAAGAUUAAGCCAUGCAAGUCUAAGUACGAGCUCUCGUACAGUGAAACUGCGAAUGGCUCAUUAAAUCAGUUAUGGUUCAUUUGAUCGUACAGUUUACUUGGAUAACUGUGGUAAUUCUAGAGCUAAUACAUGCGAGAAGCGCCGACCUCGCGGGAGGCGUGCAUUUAUCAGACCAAAAACCGGCCGCGUCUUCGGGCGCGUUCGCCUUGGUGACUCUGGAUAACUUUGCGGAUCGCACGGUCUAGCACCGGCGACGGAUCAUUCAAGUGUCUGCCCUAUCAACUUUCGUCGGUACGGUAUUUGCCUACCGAGGUUCUUACGGGUGACGGGGAAUCAGGGUUCGAUUCCGGAGAGGGAGCCUGAGAAACGGCUACCACAUCCAAGGAAGGCAGCAGGCGCGCAAAUUACCAUUGCUGAGUUUCCUCUUUUUCUCGAUUGGCUUCUGUGGGGGGUA